rnacentral:rRNA from 1 species
AUUGAACGCUGGCGGCAGGCCUAACACAUGCAAGUCGAGCGGCAGCGGAAAGUAGCUUGCUACUUUGCCGGCGAGCGGCGGACGGGUGAGUAAUGUCUGGGAAACUGCCUGAUGGAGGGGGAUAACUACUGGAAACGGUAGCUAAUACCGCAUGACCUCGAAAGAGCAAAGUGGGGGAUCUUCGGACCUCACGCCAUCGGAUGUGCCCAGAUGGGAUUAGCUAGUAGGUGAGGUAAUGGCUCACCUAGGCGACGAUCCCUAGCUGGUCUGAGAGGAUGACCAGCCACACUGGAACUGAGACACGGUCCAGACUCCUACGGGAGGCAGCAGUGGGGAAUAUUGCACAAUGGGCGCAAGCCUGAUGCAGCCAUGCCGCGUGUGUGAAGAAGGCCUUAGGGUUGUAAAGCACUUUCAGCGAGGAGGAAGGCAUCACACUUAAUACGUGUGGUGAUUGACGUUACUCGCAGAAGAAGCACCGGCUAACUCCGUGCCAGCAGCCGCGGUAAUACGGAGGGUGCAAGCGUUAAUCGGAAUUACUGGGCGUAAAGCGCACGCAGGCGGUUUGUUAAGUCAGAUGUGAAAUCCCCGCGCUUAACGUGGGAACCGCAUUUGAAACUGGCAAGCUAGAGUCUUGUAGAGGGGGGUAGAAUUCCAGGUGUAGCGGUGAAAUGCGUAGAGAUCUGGAGGAAUACCGGUGGCGAAGGCGGCCCCCUGGACAAAGACUGACGCUCAGGUGCGAAAGCGUGGGGAGCAAACAGG